GGAGAUGGCCCAGUCCUCGAGCUGCUCCCAGUGCGAUUUUGUGCCGUAUUGCCCAAGAUGGAGCUGGAGCGUAAGCGGUGGAUCCUGAUCCAGGCAAAAGGGAAAGCAGAAAGAAAGACUUACUAUGUAUCAGCUCUUGGAGGUUUCCCUUGGGAAUGUAGUCGUAAACGAGCAGCUUUUCGUCUUUU